UCCUCCAGUUCCUCCACUUUCCCUGGUUCUCUAGGUCUUCAACUUCAAUCGACCCCCUAAGCCAGUUCUCCUAGCCCCCCUUCUGGGAAGCUGCGCACCGUGGUCCCGAGAGGCCCCUCUCGCGUGGCUCCUGUAUCCUCUAAGCCCUUUCCGUGCCGGGGCCACGCGGUUCCCCACGGCCCACGUGGCCCCCGCCCCCCAAAGGAGGGGGGAUUUCGGGGGUUGCCCGUGACGUGGCUACUUGCGCAGCGGAAGCGGUGUGUGUGGGGGGGGGGUCCUUCGGGAGGGAGGAAGGCGGGGCCCAACAGGCAGUGACAUCACCCUUGUCCCACUCACGCCGCCUACUCCCUUAAAGAACCCAGAAUCCGUUUCACUUCCUCCUUCACGCAACCCCCCCCCUUCCCGUCUGUGUGGACGCGACCCACCACCGACACAGCACUCCCUUCUCCUAGGCACCUUCCCUUUGUCCCAACUCUUCCUUCUCGCCUCUCAAGAGCCCAGACGCUGCGUCCCGGCGCCUACCCCAAGUCCUGGCAGAGGCAAGGUCGUUUGUUUGCAUGGAAGUGCUUGGGUCCCACCGAUUCCCGGCGCGCGGCUCGGCGCGAGCCCAGGUAGGAACUGGCGCCUCGCCCUGCCGUUCGCGUGGAGCUCUGGUCCAAACACCCGGAGGCCGCGGUCUACCAGUUACCAAGUCGACGCUAAACUGUGGACAGUAAGAGCCCAGAUGGGCUGCUCCAGCCAAGCCCUGCGAGGACCGAGUGACCAGACGUGGGCCAAGGCACCUUAGGGGACCAGAGACGAAAGGAGCAGAUCCCUACUAAGGAAGUGGUGCCCCAGCGCUGCCAGUUACCAGGAAAUGCAGCUUCCCUUUCUGCGAUGAUGACACUUCCCCUCUGCCACUUCCCCUUUCCCACGGGGAACUGACUCAGCUUUCCCUAAACUGGUGAAUUCCGUCUCUCCAGCCCUCUGAUCUUCAACCUUUAUCUACACCCUCCCACGGCUACACCCCGGAAUACGGAGUGCUCCAUAACUAAACUUCCUGUACUCUAA